AGGAGGAGAAGCCCAGGUGGAGGAGGAGCGACGCCUGCUCCGGGAAGCCCCGUCUGGGGGCCAUGGGGGCACAGGUGAGGCUGCCGCCUGGAGAGCCCUGCCGGGAAGGCUACAUGCUAUCUCUAGUCUGUGCAAACUCCUCCCAGGCCUGGUGUGAGAUCACAAAUGUGUCACGACUGCUGGCUUCUCCUGUCCUCUACAGGGACCUGAAUUCCAGCUACAGGGACCUGAAUUCCAGCAUAAGCAACUUGAUCAUUUCUGCAAAUGUAGAAAACAGAUACAGUCUGUAUGUAGGCCUAAUGCUGGCAGUAAGUUCCAGUAUUUUUAUUGGCUCCAGCUUCAUACUGAAAAAGAAGGGCCUCUUGCAACUGGCAAAGAAGGGCAUUACCAGAGCUGGACAAGGUGGACAUUCUUACCUCAAGGAAUGGCUCUGGUGGGCAGGAUUACUCUCAAUGGGAGCCGGAGAAGCGGCGAAUUUUGCAGCUUAUGCUUUUGCACCGGCCACCUUGGUCACCCCGCUGGGUGCUCUGAGCGUGCUCGUAAGUGCAAUAUUGUCUUCCUAUUUUUUAAAUGAGCAACUGAACAUUCAUGGCAAAAUAGGCUGCAUAUUAAGUAUAUUGGGGUCAACUGUGAUGGUUAUCCAUGCCCCACAAGAAGAGGAAGUCACUUCUUUGCAUGAAAUGGAAAUGAAAUUGAGAGACCCAGGAUUUAUUUCCUUUGCUGUGAUCAUAACUGUGAUCUCGUUGGUGCUGAUUUUGAUCGUGGCUCCCAGGAAAGGACAGACCAAUAUAUUGGUCUACAUUUCAAUCUGUUCAUUGAUUGGAGCAUUUUCAGUUUCUUCCGUCAAGGGCCUGGGAAUUGCCAUUAAGGAACUAUUGGAAUGGAAGCCAGUUUAUAAGCACCCGCUGGUCUUUGUUUUGUUAGGUGUACUCGUGCUUUCGGUGACGACACAGAUUAACUAUCUCAACAAGGCACUGGACACCUUUAACACAUCUCUUGUGACUCCCAUUUAUUAUGUGUUCUUCACGUCCAUGGUAGUAACUUGCUCCGCCAUCUUAUUCCAAGAAUGGUAUGGCAUGAAAGCCGGAGAUAUCAUCGGGACCCUGAGUGGGUUCUUCACCAUCAUCAAUGGCAUCUUUCUUCUACAUGCUUUUAAAAACACUGACAUUACCUGGAAUGACCUGACAUCCACCACACAGAAAGAAGUCCUCUCGCUGAAUGGCAGUGAAGACAAAUAUGUCUUACUGGAGCACACAGAAUAUUCAACCCCAGGAUACAAUGAUGACAUUACUUUGUUUAGCAGGAUUGACGAUCAAAGUCUCUAGAAACCCCAAACUUUAACCAAUGUAAGACACUUGGAGAGGACAAGAAAUACCUAAUUCUUAGAAGAACUAUUAGGAAAGCUGACGUUUUUAAAGUUCUAACUAAUAGUUUAGAGGUGAGCCUCCCCCCCACUCCCCCCAAAAAAGCCUCGAUUUUAGCCAUCAAAUUUGAAAACCAAGGUUUGGAUCCUCCUCCAGAGGACUUCCAGUGUUUUUCAUUUCUACAAACUUGAAACAUUCCCUGAGCACAAAAGAAGUUCAAGAGUUACAUGGGUCUCUGAGUUACUCUUCUGGUCACAAUAUAUUUGUCUGUGCCAGGUGGCUCUUCAUUUCUUUGGCUGUUCAUAGUAAUUCAUAGUUCAUAGUAAUUCAUCAUAGUAAUUGAUGCUGUUCAUUCAAUUCAUUAGCUAUGUGCUGAUAAGCAGAACAUCAGCCAUCAUUCUCUGAUGAGUCAUCGUUUCAAAUUAUUAAAACUGAGACGCGAGAUCACUGAUGCUCCCCCCACCCCUUCCAUAACUUCUUUCUUUCUAAACUAGAUGGCUGAAGAGGGGAAUGUGGAAGAAAAAAUAGGCCUGCUUUGGAAAUCUGCUCCUUGGUGGGUUAGAAUGCACAAGACACAGUCCAUGAAGAGCUUAUGAAUUGUAAUUUAUUAGCAGAUCAUAAAAACUUACUACCAAUUCAAAAGGGGAGAAUAGAGGAAGGAGAGAAAUACUUAAGUGAAACAGUGUUUUCUCUUUUCACAAAAACAAAUGCAAAUGAUUAGUUUCAAGGGUUCUUUUAACUCAAACCUGAACAACGUGAGACAAAAUUGAGUUUCUGGAGAAGACCAAAUGAUUUAAGCUUUGGAGUUCCUUAUAUUCAUGUUGUCCCUUUCUCUUACUAUUAUCCCAAAGGUCAUUUUCCCUGUUGACAUAGAGACUUUUGUAAAGUCUGUAAAUGUAAAUUGGCACAUUAUUUUAAUAUUAUAUUGCACACUUAGGUUUUUCUCAACUGUCUGAUUCCCAAAGGGUAAGCUUUUGGAAACAACUAGAAAAAUCUUUGUAAAAACCUGAAUGAGUUAUCAUAAUUAUUCCCUUGAAAUUUGGCACUUUCAUGCUUAUCAAGAAAAUUAUAAUUAGUUACUAAUCUUUACAAAAAUAUGCAUAUCCUAUCACAAUAAGUGGCAGACUGUCUUUUUCUGUUGAAUUUCAUCCUGACCAUGUUUUCCAUUCAUUUUGUUGACAAGUGUUUUGGGAGACUAGGAAAGGAAGUUAACUUCCUAGAAAACAAAAUAUUAAGACCUCAGGGACUACUACAGGAAAAUACCUUUUGCUUAUUAAAACUUACAAUUUUCCUGUCUCUAAGCACACAGCAGGAAUAACAUUUUUGGUAGCCUUUAAUGUGUAUGGACAUGUAUCUUAUCACUUAUUGAUUUCAUGGGAAAGAAAUUACCUAUUUCUAGACUAAACUUAUUUCCAUCCAAAACAAAACAAAAAUCCUAACUAAAAAGUUACGAUAUUAGAGGGGAAAAAAAGAACAAAAACCCUUCAGGUUGAUUGGAUUUUUCUGUUCCAACAGAAUGUUUCAUUUGUUCGUAACCUAGCUCAAGUCCACUCUGGGUCAUAAUGAUAAGUUCUAUUAUUUAGAAUUCUAUUAGACGGACUUCAGCAUUUCCCAGUUCUAUUAGCUAUGACUAAUGUUCCCAGGGAUGUCCAGAGAGGACUGCGAAGUUGUAAAGGGCCGUCACCUUCUCUUCAGCACUUUUCAGUGUUGAGUGCAACUCAGUGCAUUCUAAUUUUUGAAAACUGAUAAUCCAUGGAAGACACAUGGGUUGAUACCUCAGGUCAAUCUGUUUUUUAGAAGAAGGCUCUCCAUAGAACCAUUUCCUGUAUAAUUGAUUUGACACCUGAACCAAAGGCCAUAACUCCAGAAUGGUGAAUGAGACAUCAAGGAUGAGAUCUAAUAUCUGUAGCCACGCAGAAACACGUUCAAUUUUGUUACCAAGCAGACAAGAAAGAGAGGCUUGCUUCAAAGUCAGAGACAGGUUUCAACAAUCUUUGCAAUAAGUUACAUAAUCCGUACCUAAGAAGAAGUACAUAGUUCAAUAGCUGCCAACAGAAGAGUCAGCAUCAUUUAGGACUGGGCUCGGCUUCAAGUCAUUGAACAGCUAAUAGUGGCUUAAAUAAAUGGGGGCUCAUUCGUGUCAUAUAACAAGCAUCUGGAAGUGGGCCGUUCCGAGUUGGAGCAGUAGUAGCCCCACAAUCCUAGGAGGGACCCAGGCCAUUCUUUCUGCUCCUCAGAGAGGCCCGCCAGAUUUAACAGCAACAACAAAAAUACAAGACAAGCAGUUAAAUUUGAAUUUCUGACAAACGCAUUUAGUAGAAGUACGUCGCAUGCAAUACUUGGAAAUACUCACUGCAACAAUCUAACUCCAAGUUUGAUGCUUGCCAACAGCUUUCAAGGUCCUUUCUGCCCCACACCUGAGCAAGCUGAUAAGAAAGGUUGUCUGCCUCCUCCCUGGUACCAGCUGGGAGUUCAAACUCCGCACCCGCAGCCCCCUCAUCUCAGCCCUACCCCCUCAUCACCACGAAACUCCAAGGCAGUCGCCCCAUCUGGAUCCCCUGGGGAUGUGCCCAGCAGAUGUCUGCAGAAACCCUCAUUUUGUGAGUCAUAAACCUCUCGUACCUUCUUGCUAUGUAUUUGGUGUCAAGUCUCAACCUCUGAACCAAAUUUGGGAUGGGUCUCCACCCACUUCUGGGGCUGACCACCACAGGAGCGGUGACCACAGCACUUAACUCUAAAAACUUAUUUGUUGUUUAUCGGAAAUUUAAACUUAACCGGAUAGCCUAUAUUUUAUCUAGCAACCCUAUCUAUGGGCCCUCCUCUUCGUGUCUGUUUCCCUCAGGUCUCAAAGCCAUGCUCCAACAGGCAAGAGGCAAAAGAGUUCUCUUUCUGGUGAGUCUCAGCUUUUUAUUUGGGAAGGGAAGCUCCCCUCAGGUGCUUCUGGCUGCAUUUCAUUAUGUGGAAUUUGCUGGGUACGCGCACGCUUGCUGCAAGUGAGCCUUGAAAGCUGAGUAUUUCAACUUUGCAUGAAAAGAAGAACAAAGGAUUGUAGCUGCCUUUUGGAAGAUUAACCCACAGCAUCAACUAUGAAGUUGUCUGUUGCCACAUGUAAUGGGGAUAUUUUCAAAAUACCUGUACUUACCCACAAGUCCAUUUCCUUCUCUCUGAAUCCUGUUAGCCUGCUGGGUAUGGGGAUGCAAAAGUCACCUGGGAGGAAGGACAUCUCCAAGGACCUGCACCUUUGACAUCAGCUGGGAGCUUUAAAAAUGCAGAAUGUAAGGUCCCACUUAGGACCUACUGAAUCAGAAUCUGCAUUUUAACAAAGUCUGCAGGCGAUUGUAUGUACAUUAAAGUUUGAGAAGAACGGAGAUAGAAGAACACUGAAGAAGUGAAGAACAUUUUCUGAGCUAUGCUCAGUCCCCUUGUGAUACGGCUGGGACUCAGAAGUUUCCAUAUGUGCUCAAGUUGGGAGCAGGAAGAAGCUGAAUCAAGCACCGGAAAUGCUGUCAUGGCGCCCGCCAUAUGAGAAGCUGGAUGACCAGCUGCACCAGCAGCCCAGCCCAGCCCAAGGGCAAGUGGAAGCUAUGGUGGAGCCUACAGUGCCAGCAAGCGCUGGGGUGAGGUCGAGUCAGCCAGGAAGGGCUUCUGUGCCCUGAUCAAGUCAGGAGAGACCAACCCACACAGCCACCA